GAAGCCCAACUAAGAUGUUAUCGGCCAUUCGGCCAUGUUAUCACACCUCCCUCGUUCUCUACAAAACCCUAUUUCGAAAAUUUUCACUAUAUAAAUUGGAGCUCUUAACCUAACCUCAAUCAUCAACCUUCCCGUUUCACAAUCGCUUCCAUCGUCUCUGUUCACAUUUGUUUUUCUAAUGCAAAAGAUGGGGAAAUCCUGUGAUGGCAUGAAAUCUUUGAGACCUGAUAGUCUACUUUUGAUGACAAAUAUAAGCAUUUUACUGAGGAUUCUCCCACUUUGAAAGUUUUGUUUUGUUUUGUUUUUUAAAAUUGUUUCUUUGAGAAAUUGAAAUGAUGAUCGCACUGGGCUCUGAGCAGUUUGAUUAAAGACUGCUAAUUUGAUGCACACUGCAGCCUAGAAAGCUAUGUCUGAUCUCUCAUUGUUUUCUUUUUGGA